rnacentral:rRNA from 1 species
UACGAAGGGGGCUAGCGUUGUUCGGAAUUACUGGGCGUAAAGGGCGCGUAGGCUGUGCUGUAAGUCAGGCGUGAAAGCCCCGGGCUCAACCUGGGAAUUGCGCUUGAUACUGCGGCGCUGGAAGGUGGGAGAGGAUGGCGGAAUUCCCAGUGUAGAGGUGAAAUUCGUAGAUAUUGGGAAGAACACCGGUGGCGAAGGCGGCCAUCUGGCCCAUUUUUGACGCUGAGGCGCGGAAAGCGUUGGGGAGCAAACAGG